UACGAAGGGGGCUAGCGUUGCUCGGAAUCACUGGGCGUAAAGCGCACGUAGGCGGCUUCUUAAGUCAGGGGUGAAAUCCUGGAGCUCAACUCCAGAACUGCCUUUGAUACUGGGAGGCUCGAGUCCGGGAGAGGUGAGUGGAACUGCGAGUGUAGAGGUGAAAUGCGUAGAGAUCGGGAAGAACACCAGUGGCGAAGGCGGCCGGCUGGGGGUGUCCUGACGCUGAGGCGCGAGAGCGUGGGGAGCAAACCGG
rnacentral:rRNA from 1 species